CAGGCUUAACACAUGCAAGUCGAGCGGAAACGAUGAUAGCUUGCUAUCAGGCGUCGAGCGGCGGACGGGUGAGUAAUACUUAGGAAUCUACCUAGUAGUGGGGGAUAGCACGGGGAAACUCGUAUUAAUACCGCAUACGACCUACGGGAGAAAGGGGGCAGUUUACUGCUCUCGCUAUUAGAUGAGCCUAAGUCGGAUUAGCUAGAUGGUGGGGUAAAGGCCUACCAUGGCGACGAUCUGUAGCUGGUCUGAGAGGAUGAUCAGCCACACCGGGACUGAGACACGGCCCGGACUCCUACGGGAGGCAGCAGUGGGGAAUAUUGGACAAUGGGGGAAACCCUGAUCCAGCCAUGCCGCGUGUGUGAAGAAGGCCUUUUGGUUGUAAAGCACUUUAAGCAGUGAAGAAGACUCUUCGGUUAAUACCCGGAGACGAUGACAUUAGCUGCAGAAUAAGCACCGGCUAACUCUGUGCCAGCAGCCGCGGUAAUACAGAGGGUGCAAGCGUUAAUCGGAAUUACUGGGCGUAAAGCGAGCGUAGGUGGCUUGAUAAGUCAGAUGUGAAAUCCCCGGGCUUAACCUGGGAACUGCAUCUGAAACUGUUAGGCUAGAGUAGGUGAGAGGGAAGUAGAAUUUCAGGUGUAGCGGUGAAAUGCGUAGAGAUCUGAAGGAAUACCGAUGGCGAAGGCAGCUUCCUGGCAUUCAUACU
rnacentral:rRNA from 1 species